AAUCAACGCUGGCGGCGUGCCUCAGACAUGCAAGUCGAACGAUUAAAGCUCUCUUCGGAGAGUGUAUAGAGUGGCGCACGGGUGAGUAACACGUAAGUAAUCUACCUUUGAGUGGGGAAUAACAGUCGGAAACGACUGCUAAUACCGCAUAAUGCAGCGGCACCGCGAGGUGACAGUUGUUAAAGGAGCAAUUCGCUUAAAGAGGAGCUUGCGGCAGAUUAGCUUGUUGGUAAGGUAACGGCUUACCAAGGCUACGAUCUGUAUCCGGUCUUAGAGGACGGUCGGACACACUGACACUGAAUAACGGGUCAGACUCCUACGGGGAGGCAGCAGUCGGGAAUUUUGGGCAAUGGGCGAAAGCCUGACCCAGCAACGCCGCGUGAAGGAUG
rnacentral:rRNA from 1 species